GAUAAAUAAUUAAAAAAAUAGAUAUGCUCCAUAUAUUAAGAUACAAUCGAUUAUUAACUAUGGUAUUAAGGUUACAUAUUAUUUAGCUAUCGAUAAUAUGGUGGUAAAGUCCAAAAAAGUAUAUUAGUUGCUAAUUUAACUGAUAGUAAAUAAUGGUCAGGAUUAGUAAGAAAAAAAUUGUAAAAGAAAAAAAAUUAGAUAUAAAUAGAGGUUCCCUAUUUGUCGCUGUGAUUAUGAUGUGGAGGUUACUUUAGUUUGUUAGGCGUGUGAAGGAUAAACUAAAGCUAUUAAAGAAUAGUGGUUAAGUUGGAAAAUUAUAUAAAGGGGUGGUUAUGUUCGAAAAUGAUGGAUACAUGUAGUGUUGCCAUUAAUUGUUGGAUCCAACUUUUAUCAAUGGGUCAUACAUGUGCUUUAAUAGAAUAGACUAGACUAGAUAUUUUUAAUUAAGUUCGCAGACAUAAUAACUCUUAAAAAUAUAUUUUAUUAUAUUUAUUUU
rnacentral:lncRNA from 1 species